GAUGAACGCUGGCGGCGUGCCUAAUACAUGCCAGUCGAGCGAACAGACGAGGAGCUUGCUCCUCUGACGUUAGCGGCGGACGGGUGAGUAACACGUGGAUAACCUACCUAUAAGACUGGGAUAACUUCGGGAAACCGGAGCUAAUACCGGAUAAUAUAUUGAACCGCAUGGUUCAAUAGUGAAAGACGGUUUUGCUGUCACUUAUAGAUGGAUCCGCGCCGCAUUAGCUAGUUGGUAAGGUAACGGCUUACCAAGGCGACGAUGCGUAGCCGGCCUGAGAGGGUGAUCGGCCACACUGGAACUGAGACACGGUCCAGACUCCUACGGGAGGCAGCAGUAGGGAAUCUUCCGCAAUGGGCGAAAGCCUGACGGAGCAACGCCGCGUGAGUGAUGAAGGUCUUCGGAUCGUAAAACUCUGUUAUUAGGGAAGAACAAAUGUGUAAGUAACUAUGCACGUCUUGACGGUACCUAAUCAGAAAGCCACGGCUAACUACGUG
rnacentral:rRNA from 1 species